UCAACCAAUCCUGGAGACAGAAGUCUUUUACUUAUCCUCAUAGUGGGUACAGCCAGGACAGUGGCAAUGCAAGACUCCCCCUAACCCCACCAAUGUGCCUCAAACCUUGUCCUGGAUAAGUCACCUGUACGGACAAGAGAAGAGCUCAUUUUCUUUGUCCCAUUCAAUCCUUGGCCUCU
rnacentral:sRNA from 1 species